UGAUAAUGCUGGGAUGUGAUGGGGAGCGAAAUUUAGUAGCGAAGUAGCUGAUUUCACACUGUCAAGAAAAGUCUCUAUCGAGGUUAAAGGUACCCGUACCGCAAACCGACACAGGUGGGUGAGGAGAGUAUCCUAAGGCCCGCGAGAGAACUGUUGUUAAGGAACUCGGCAAAAUGACCCCGUAACUUAGGGAUAAGGGGUGCCACCAUCCGGUGGCCGCAGAGAAUAGGCCCAAGCGACUGUUUACCAAAAACAUAGGUUUCUGCUAAGUCGCAAGACGAUGUAUAGGAGCUGACGCCUGCCCGGUGCUGGAAGGUUAAGGGGAUCUGUUAGAGCAAUCGAAGCAGUGA
rnacentral:rRNA from 1 species